rnacentral:ncRNA from 1 species
AAAAAUAUGCUCCGAACAAAAGUAUCUAAGGGAAAUUAAGCCUAUGAUGCUGCGUCAAGACAGAAUCUUCUAGUCUUCAGGGUUGACUUAGGAAACGAAUCAGCCUUCCAUGUUUGAAAAGGAGUAGUUUU